rnacentral:rRNA from 1 species
UACAGAGGUGGCAAGCGUUGUUCGGAAUUACUGGGCGUAAAGGGCGCGUAGGCGGCCUACUAAGUCAGACGUGAAAUCCCCCGGCUUAACCUGGGAACUGCGUCUGAUACUGGAAGGCUUGAGGAUGGGAGAGGGAUGUAGAAUUCCAGGUGUAGCGGUGAAAUGCGUAGAUAUCUGGAGGAAUACCGGUGGCGAAGGCGGCAUCCUGGACCAUUACUGACGCUGAGGCGCGAAAGCUAGGGGAGCAAACAGGGG